rnacentral:rRNA from 1 species
UACGGAGGGUGCGAGCGUUGUCCGGAAUCACUGGGCGUAAAGGGCGCGUAGGUGGCGCGGGCAGUCAACGGUGAAAGUUCGGGGCUCAACCCUGAAUCGGCCGUCGAUACUCCCGGGCUGGAGCACUGUAGAGGCUAAUGGAAUUCCGGGUGUAGCGGUGGAAUGCGUAGAGAUCCGGAAGAACACCGGUGGCGAAGGCGGCUUGCUGGACCCCUUCUGACGCUGAGGCGCGAAAGCCAGGGGAGCGAACGGGG